ensembl:lncRNA
CCUCUGCCUUGUGGGAUCCAAAAACAAAGUUCUGUGAGUUUGCUUCAUUUUUCCUGCUCUGGUCUCUGUAGUUACUGUCGCCAACCCCUUGCCUCCUGGACAGAUCUCCCGUCUCCUGAGAGGUCCCCACCAGAACGUCUUUAUAUGACAACUGCCCUACUGAUUGACUUGGACCUGAGGCAGGUUCUGUUCUGUUCUGAUCUUUUCUCUUAGAUGUCUUCUCAGGCACCUCCUGUGUUACUGAGGGAGCUGGACUAGUAGAUUGUUUUUGACUAGUGUUUGGCUCAUCUGUUGGGUCAGAACCCCUCUGAUCACCAAGGGAUACUUGGGAUUGGUCAACACACUUCUUUGAGUUUGCUUCAUUUGUUAUAUUCUCGUCGGUCUGGUUACUAGAGGUCUUCAGUUCAUUCAGAACUCUAACCUCUGUGUUGCCUUCACCAUCAAGGCUUUUUGAUGGCUCCGUUGACCCGUGUGACGUCCCCUUCAGGUCUUCCUCAUCCAAGAGUUUACUGGCUGGUUGAGUUGGGUCUGAGGCACGUCCUCCUGUGUUCUGAUCAGCUGUCUCGGGUGUGGAUGAGGCCUGUGUGACUGAUGUAGGACUAGGUUGGUUUGGCUCAUUCACUGGUGCGUCUACGUUUGCCUUCGAUGGACCCUUGGCCUGGUCUUCUGGCAGUGUCUGGUGUGGGGAUGGGUUUGGAGAGGCUAUAGGUAUGGUUGGAGGGCCAGUAGGUGUGGCGGUGAUGACAGGAGGGCCAGUAGGUGUGGCAAUGUUGACAGGAGGGCCAGUAGGUGUGGUGGUGUUGACAGGAGGGCCAGCAGGUGUGGUGGUGUUGACAGGAGGGCCAGUAGGUGUGGCAGUGUUGACAGGAGGGCCAGUAGGUGUGGCGGUGUUGACAGGAGGGCCAGUAGGUGUGGCAGUGUUGACAGGAGGGCCAGCAGGUGUGGCGGUGUUGACAGGAGGGCCAGUAGGUGUGGUGGUGUUGACAGGAGGACCAGUAGGUGUGGCAGUGUUGACAGGAGGGCCAGUACGUGUGGCAGUGUUAACAGGAGGGCCAGUAGGUGUAGUGGUGUUGACAGGAGGGUCAUCCACCACUGAAGUAGAGCUCUCACUGACAGACAACUCAUCUUUCUCUUGACGUGUGUCAGUGCUCAGCUCAAUAGCGCUGGAAGAGCCUCCACUCUAUGAACAAUGUAUACAAAAAUGAGGCCUUUUAACACAUAAAUCAUUAAGGAUCAGCAUUUCUGAUUCAUAAGCCCUGCCCAUUAAAGCGUUCCCAUUCCAUGCUAAUUUCACUGGGUUCCCUUGACUUAAAACCCACGUCUGGUCACAUCCUAACGUCACAAAUUGAAAGUGUGACUGGUUCUGUUUAAACAAAUAUAUAAUUGUAAAUCUCUUAUC